GGCUGAGUUCAUACAAUUCUCUAAACAAUAAAGAAUGGAUUUUUAUAAAAUUAUUAUUUACAAACAUACAUGGAUUCAUACAAGGGCAGUUUCCACUUGGCCUUUGAAGUUCCUUCUGAUACUUUCACAUAUCAGUCCUAGCUGCAACUUCACCAUGGUUUUGAACAGUUCAUAAUAGCACAUUGCUCAAGAACACUUUAUAGUCCACUAAUAAUAGGGUAACAAUUAAAUGUGAUCUCAGGAACUGACCCAGUAGGUUUGGCAAGUCUUUUCAAAAUGGUACUGAAUUCUAGAAAGUUGUGCCUCCUUUUGCAGGAACUGUUAGGAGUAUUGGACUGGUUUUGUCCCUUCCUAAAUUUCUGUUAUCUCUUUUUAACCGAUAAGUAUGAUCUCUACCAUGUCUCUCUGAUCUUAACAUGGUUUGCUGCAGAAGAGCUUAUGUUCAAUUCCUACAGGACUAGGGAACAGAAAAUGUUGAACCCUUCUGUUCCUGAGAGACAGGAGAAAGACUGUUAUAUUGGUCUGGAUGGGUUAAAAAUAUGGAGGCACCCCAAAUUUCAAUUAAAUCCUAAAGAAGAGAUCAUGAUAGAACUCCUUCCAUUGAGCUUCUUCAAUCUGAGGAGAAUAGACAAUCACAGUGAUAGAAAGAUACUCAAGAAAUGGAUGUUAAAAGAAAACAAUCUUAUGUAAUAUAUAUAUAUUGUUCGGAAAUGAUAAUUACCUAACUUGUUGGGUUGGCAAUAUAUAAACCCUCAAAAUAGCUUUAAGACUGUAUUGCUGAAUUGCAUCAUACUGUGUCCUGAUUGGUUAGCUCUGUAGCCAAUGUCCUUAAGAGGGAGCUAGAAACAUGGUUUGUUUCUCUUUGCUGACUAUUAUUGCUCUUUGCUGAUCGUUACUGCUCUGUGCUAUGUUUGCCACUGUUUGCAACUGUUUAUUGUGUAUGACUACGACGACUGGUAAGAAGACUUUGUUAUUGGAACAUCCCUGGACUAUUGUUUUACUAUCUACUGCUUUAUCUGUGUAUGACCUGUACUGUUUAUUGGACUGUGCCUUAUUACUAUUACCUGAAAGUAAACACAACUCAGUA